GAUCCUGGCUCAGGAUGAACGCUAGCUACAGGCUUAACACAUGCAAGUCGAGGGGCAGCAUGUUGGUUGCUUGCAACCGAUGAUGGCGACCGGCGCACGGGUGAGUAACGCGUAUCCAACCUACCCUUGUCCAUCGGAUAACCCGUCCGAAAGGCGGGCCUAACACGAUAUGCGGUUCACAGCAGGCGAUCUAACGUGAACGAAAUAGUGAGGAGAAGGAUGGGGAGUGCGU
rnacentral:rRNA from 1 species